UACGUAGGGUGCGAGCGUUAAUCGGAAUUACUGGGCGUAAAGCGUGCGCAGGCGGUGAUGUAAGACAGAUGUGAAAUCCCCAGGCUCAACCUGGGAACUGCGUCUGAUACUGGAUGGCUUGAAUUCGGGAGAGGGAUGCAGAAUUCCAGGUGUAGCGGUGAAAUGCGUAGAUAUCGUGGAGGAAUACCGGUGGCGAAGGCGGCAUCCUGGGACCGACAUUGACGCUGAGGAGCGAAAGCUAGGGGAGCAAACGGG
rnacentral:rRNA from 1 species